rnacentral:rRNA from 1 species
UACAGAGGUGGCAAGCGUUGUUCGGAAUUACUGGGCGUAAAGGGCGCGUAGGCGGCCAUCUAAGUCAGACGUGAAAUCCCCCGGCUUAACCUGGGAACUGCGUCUGAUACUGGACGGCUUGAGUAUGGGAGAGGGAUGUAGAAUUCCAGGUGUAGCGGUGAAAUGCGUUGAGAUCGGAAGGAACGCCCGCGGCGAAAGCGCGUCCCUGGACCCCACCUGACGCUGAGACGCGAAAGCCAGGGGAGCGAACGGG